AUAACAUCGAGGAACGGGACAGUAGCAGGAUGAUGCACAUGAGCAGCGAGCCGGGUUGGUGAAAGCCGGCGAUGGCGCAUUUUGCGAAGAGGACCCGGGAGAUGGCUUGCCGAACCGAUUUUCGUUAUACAGUAGGCCUGCCCGGUUCAGUACCGUUACAACGGCGAGAUGCUUAUAGCAGCGCGUUUAUUUGUACUUCCGCCUGCCAAUAAGCAACAAGAGUGGCACCGCGGGAUUAACCCCCGUCUCUUAC
rnacentral:ncRNA from 1 species